rnacentral:rRNA from 1 species
ACACGACUACAUUAGAUACCCCGGUAGUCCUAGCCGUAAACGAUACUCGCUAGGUGUCGGCCACGGUGCGACCGUUGUCGGUGCCGUAGGGAAGCCGUGAAGCGAGCCACCUGGGAAGUACGGCCGCAAGGCUGAAACUUAAAGGAAUUGGCGGGGAGCACCACAAGAGGUGGAGGCUGCGGUUCAAUUGGACUCAACGCCGGAAACUCAUCGGGAGCGACAGCAGUAUGAUUGCCAGGUUGAUGACCUUGCUUGACAAGCUG